GCAAUGCCAGAGGGAGGCUUGUGCAAAUAUUCUCAUAGAUUCUGGUGCUGAUCCAAAUAUUGUAGAUGUGUAUGGCAACACAGCUGUCCAUUAUGCUGUUAACAGUGAGAAUUUGUCAGUGGUGGCAAAAUUGCUGUCCUGUGGUACAGACAUUAAAGUGAAGAACAAGGCUGGCCACACACCACUUUUAUUGGCCAUAAGGAAAAGAAGUGAGCAAAUUGUGGAAUUUUUACUGACAAAAAAAUGCAAAUGCAAAUGGAGUUGAUAAGUUUAAAUGCAUUCAUCAACAACUUUUGGAAUAUAAACAAAAGAUAUCUAAAAAUUCUCAAAAUAGUAAUCCAGAAGGAACAUCUGAAGGAACACCUGACGAGGCUGCACCCUUGGCGGAAAGAACACCUGACACGGCUGAAAGCUUGGUGGAAAGAACACCUGACGAAUAGGAUACAGUGAAUUCCUCUUCAAAGAUUUUAGCCUGUAAACAUCCUUUAAAAUUCAAGAGGGGGGAAGAUUAAGUACAAUGAGUUCUGAGUUCCUCAUCAAAGAACAAAUAUGUCAGUAUGUUCAGCUUCUCCGUUCUUUGUUCUCCGUUUUAAAGUUUAACUUCCUCGUUCGUUAUGCCUCCUUGCCCCUAGUUUCAUUAAACAACCCCCUUCUAGCCUCUAACA
rnacentral:lncRNA from 1 species